GACGAACGCUGGCGGCGUGCUUAACACAUGCAAGUCGAGCGGUAAGGCCCUUUCGGGGGUACACGAGCGGCGAACGGGUGAGUAACACGUGGGUGACCUGCCUUUAGCUCUGGGAUAAGCCUGGGAAACCGGGUCUAAUACCGGAUAUGACUCCGCGGCGCAUGUUGUGGGGUGGAAAGCCUUGUGCGGCUGGAGAUGGGCCCGCGGCCUAUCAGCUUGUUGGUGGGGUGAUGGCCUACCAAGGCGACGACGGGUAGCCGGCCUGAGAGGGCGACCGGCCACACUGGGACUGAGAUACGGCCCAGACUCCUACGGGAGGCAGCAGUGGGGAAUCUUGCGCAAUGGGCGAAAGCCUGACGCAGCGACGCCGCGUGAGGGAUGACGGCCUGGUUGUAA
rnacentral:rRNA from 1 species